CCCCUCUCAGGAUCGUUCCUCGAGAGUUUCCAGUACUCUACUAGUUUCAGCUGUGGGAGGGAUAGUCAAGCAGAGACAUACCCAUUCCAUUCCUAGCUUGGCCAGUGGCUAGUGAGUGGAAGAUAAUCUGCUAUAAAU
rnacentral:snoRNA from 1 species